rnacentral:tRNA from 1 species
CAGGGAGACAACAAAAUGUUUAAUAUUAUUAUUUUGUCACCUUAGGUCGAUCGGUAUCUCACAUUCUUAAUUUAUUAAGGAUUUUAUUUCCUAAGUUUUUCUAGGUCACACCCAUUAUUUUUCCUGGGCCAUUAGCUCAGGUGGUUAGAGCGCACCCCUGAUAAGGGUGAGGUCCCUGGUUCAAGUCCAGGAUGGCCCAUAUCUCUAUGUUGGGGGUAUAGCUCAGUUGGUAGAGCGCCUGCUUUGCAAGCAGGAUGUCAGCGGUUCGAGUCCGCUUACCUCCACUGAUUACCACCUCUUCCAUAAUCUGUAAAAAAGGAAAAUUUUUGAGUUGUGAACAUAAAUCUGAACGAAUCUAGCUUCCUAAUGAAACAUUAAGAUGCUGGACUCAUUGAAUUAAUUUCAUUGUUUUCAGAGAACCUUGACAACUGCAUAGAUUAUUUUUAAAGACAAUAAGCAUCUUUGAUGAUGCAGAUUUAUUAUUUGUGCGAAUGCAUUAAUAACAAUUCUAUUAAGCUGAUGCUUCAAUUUUGAAGUUAUU